rnacentral:rRNA from 1 species
GACGAACGCUGGCGGCGUGCUUAACACAUGCAAGUCGAACGGAAAGGCCCUGCUUUUGUGGGGUGCUCGAGUGGCGAACGGGUGAGUAACACGUGAGUAACCUGCCCUUGACUUUGGGAUAACUUCAGGAAACUGGGGCUAAUACCGGAUAGGAGCUCCUGCUGCAUGGUGGGGGUUGGAAAGUUUCGGCGGUUGGGGAUGGACUCGCGGCUUAUCAGCUUGUUGGUGGGGUAGUGGCUUACCAAGGCUUUGACGGGUAGCCGGCCUGAGAGGGUGACCGGCCACAUUGGGACUGAGAUACGGCCCAGACUCCUACGGGAGGCAGCAGUGGGGAAUAUUGCACAAUGGGCGGAAGCCUGAUGCAGCAACGCCGCGUGCGGGAUGACGGCCUUCGGGUUGUAAACCGAUUUCGCCUGUGACGAAGCGUGAGUGACGGUAAUGGGUAAAGAAGCACAGGCUAACUACGUG